CAAUAGCGUAUAUUAAAGCUGUUGCGGUUAAAAAGCUCGUAGUUGGAUUUCUGUCAAGGACAACUGGUCCGCCCUCCGGGUGAGCACAUAGUUUGGUCUUGGCAUCUUGCUGGAAACUGUUGCUGCGCUUGGUUGUGUGGUGCAGCUUUCGGCACUUUCACUUUGAGGAAAUUGGAGUGUUUCAAGCAGGCACAUGCCUUUGGACACAGUAGCAUGGAAUAAUUAGAUUGGGCUUUUGCUCCAACUUGUUGGUUCCUGGAGCUGAGGUGAGAAUCAAUGGGGAUUGUUGGGGGCAUCCGAAUUUAGCCGUCAGAGGUGAAAUUCUUGGAUCUGCUAAAGACGGACAACUGCGAAAGCGUUUGCCCAGGAUGUUUUCAUUGA
rnacentral:rRNA from 1 species